GACGAACGCUGGCGGCACGCUUAACACAUGCAAGUCGAACGGACUUAAACGAGUUUGCUUUUUUGAGUUAGUGGCGGACGGGUGAGUAACACGUGAGCAACCUGCCUCUGACAGGGGGAUAGCUUCUGGAAACUGAUGCUAAUACCCCAUAAAAUAUAAAUCUCCCUUGUUAGGUUUAUCAAGGAAAUUCGGUCAGGGAUGGGCUCGCGUCUGAUUAGAUUGUUGGUGGGGUAGUGGCUCACCAAGUCGACGACCAGUAGCCGGCCUGAGAGGUUGAACGGCCAGAAUUGGAAUGCGACACGGACCAGACUGCUACGGAGAGGAGCAGUGGGGAAUAUUGCAGAAUGGAGGCAAAUGUGAUGAAGCGAUGUGGGGUGGAAGAAGAAGGUGUUCGGAUUGUAAACUCGUUUUAGAAGGGACGAUAAUGACGGUAACGGAUGAAAAAGCACCGGCUAACUACGUG
rnacentral:rRNA from 1 species